AACGAACGCUGGCGGCAGGCUUAACACAUGCAAGUCGAACGUCCCGCAAGGGGAGUGGCAGACGGGUGAGUAACGCGUGGGAACAUACCCUUUUCUACGGAAUAGCUCUGGGAAACUGGAAUUAAUACCGUAUACGCCCUACGGGGGAAAGAUUUAUCGGGGAAGGAUUGGCCCGCGUUGGAUUAGCUAGUUGGUGGGGUAAAGGCCUACCAAGGCGACGAUCCAUAGCUGGUCUGAGAGGAUGAUCAGCCACAUUGGGACUGAGACACGGCCCAAACUCCUACGGGAGGCAGCAGUGGGGAAUAUUGGACAAUGGGCGCAAGCCUGAUCCAGCCAUGCCGCGUGAGUGAUGAAGGCCUUAGGGUUGUAAAGCUCUUUCACCGAUGAAGAUAAUGACGGUAGUCGGAGAAGAAGCCCCGGCUAACUUCGUG
rnacentral:rRNA from 1 species